rnacentral:tRNA from 1 species
GCCGGGAUGCUGGAAUUGGCAGACAGGCACGGCUUAGGACCGUGUGCUUUUUUAAAGCGUGCAGGUUCGACUCCUGUUCCCGGCA